rnacentral:lncRNA from 1 species
UAUCAUUCUAAGCUAUUAUUUGUAGAGUUAUUACCUCAAUGUCACUACGGGUCUUUAGAAGUUAUACUAGACAUGCAUCAUAUAAUCUCAAUGAUUCCAAAAGAUUUAGUCCAACAUAAAGAAACUUCAUAAAUGAGCAAAUUCAGUUCUCCACAAAGAGAAUAGAAGGGGAUGCAUCAAACCCCAUUAACAAAACCCAUGAUCAGAAUCAUCAUUGGAAAGUUUUAUGAUGAGGAGAGAGAGGGAGAGGGAGAGGGAGAGGGAGAGAGGGAGAGAGAGGGAGGGAGGGAGAGAGAGAGAGGGAGAGAGCUACUAGUACAUAUCCUCGACCAUGAGGGAUGACUAGUCGAGCAUCACUGUAAGAAAAUAGUAAGAGUUGUUGGUGAUAGUGAUGGAGAUGGUGAAGAUGUCCUCGACAAUGUUCCCGCGCCACUAGAGGAGAGGGGGAAGGAGGCACCUACUUCUGCUUCCUCCUUGG